rnacentral:rRNA from 1 species
GGCUAACUCCGUGCCAGCAGCCGCGGUAAUACGGAGGGGGUUAGCGUUGUUCGGAAUUACUGGGCGUAAAGCGCACGUAGGCGGCUUUGUAAGUUAGAGGUGAAAGCCUGGAGCUCAACUCCAGAAUUGCCUUUAAGACUGCAUCGCUUGAAUCCAGGAGAGGUGAGUGGAAUUCCGAGUGUAGAGGUGAAAUUCGUAGAUAUUCGGAGGAACACCAGUGGCGAAGGCGGCUCACUGGCUCGAUACUGACGCUGAGGUGCGAAAGUGUGGGGAGCAAACAGGAUUAGAUACCCUGGUAGUCCACACCGUAAACGAUGAAUGCCAGUCGUCGGGUAGCAUGCUAUUCGGUGACACACCUAACGGAUUAAGCAUUCCGCCUGGGGAGUACGGUCGCAAGAUUAAAACUCAAAGGAAUUGACGGGGACCCGCACAAGCGGUGGAUGAUGUGGAUUAAUUCGAUGCAACGCGAAAAACCUUACCUACCCUUGACAUGUC